UACGGAGGGGGGCGAGCGUUAUUCGGAAUUAUUGGGCGUAAAGGGCGCGUAGGCGGCUUGAUAAGUCAAAGGUGAAAUCCCUCGGCUCGACUGAGGAACUGCCUUUGAAACUGUCUGGCUUGAGGCCGGGAGGGGGUAGCGGAAUUCCCAGUGUAGCGGUGAAAUGCGUAGAUAUCAGGAGGAACACCGGUGGCGAAGGCGGGUCUCUGGGCCGAUACUGACGCUGAGGAGCGAAAGCGUGGGGAGCGAACAGG
rnacentral:rRNA from 1 species